GUGGCUUAAUGUGUACUUAGCCACACCAAUCAGCUGACCAACAACUCCAGCUGCAGAUGAUGACUCUUCAUCUAUCAUCUGUACUUGAUUUACAGCCACAGCAUGUGUUUCAUGUUAGAAGCAAAAGGGCUCUGCACUUUUCACACAUGGCUCUUCGUGGAAUUGAUCCAGUUGCUUCUGUGACCCAAUCCGAACUUUGAACACAAAAAGCCCAAAGUGUGGUGUUUUCAACAUGCAAUUAUUGUGUCUGUGGAGCUCCAAGAAUGAAAUAAGCUGCUUCUAAUUAUGUGAACUGAAUGUGUGUUGAUGGCAAACUUCAAACACACAACAGCUCAUAAGGACCAGUACCAAGACAAAGUAUGGCUUUCAACUGCUCUUUUUUGAUGCUGAGCAAACUAGAUAUAGUAUGAUCUAGUACAGGAACUACUCCAGUGACGGUUUACAGGGACAAUAUCUCAGCAGAAGGGAAUGGACCUCUAUUCAAGUUCAUCUGAACACACACAGAAACCUUAAGAGCUGAAUCUAAGAAUUUAAAGUCUGCUUUGGACUCUGCUAGAAAACUCCUGGCAUCAGGCUCUGAUUGCUCAUUUGAAGAGAAACGACUGCAACACUUAUUGACCCAUCAGGAUUCCUGAGCGUUAAUUUAUUAAUGGAGCUGACUCGCUUGUUUCAUGUACACCUCAAUCACAUCCUCUGACAUCUUCUGCUAUUCAUUGGAAAUGAACUCUUUCCAUCCAGGGGAUUUUACCCUAGACGGCUGAGACUACAUAGUUAUUACACACUGAAAAGAGACUACUCAAGCAGAUCCAGACUGUUAGGAUGAAGAAACCAUAAUUGGAGACGGUAUGGUUUGCUGCUGUGCUUCUCAACCACAGAGCUAGGUCACCAGAGGUGAAGGUAAAUGUGUCUGUGUUGUAGUUACUCUGGCAGCUCUUUACAGUACACAAGGCCUUGAAAAUUUUACUAGACAAUGAAAGAAAGAUAAACAUAAUUCCUUCCUCUUACUCUUCAAAGUUGGGCUUUCUUAACUCAUUAAAUCCCACAGAAAACUUUACAAUGAACUUGCCUCCACUCUCACUUUUCCUCCCUGUGUAGCCCUUCUAUUACAAGUGUGAAAAUACAGUGACAUUUUUGUAUCAUUAAUAGGUGAUAACUAGCUAAUAAGAGGGAAAGAAAAGAUGAAGCCCAAUACAUUGCUGUGUAUAAAUUCUGGACACUCUACUGGUUCUGGAGUAUUUUUCCUACUAUUUGACUUCAGUAAAGUCACUUCAGUUUUCC